rnacentral:rRNA from 1 species
AUGAUUCGUGGGACGUCCUGCCGGUGGUGGCGAGUCGAAGGCGUGCUCCCGUUGUGGUUUUUCCACUUCGGUUCUUGCGCGCUCGAGGCGGACCCCGAUGAAAUCCUACCGCGGUGCUCUUCGCCGAGUGUCGAGGUGGGCCGGCACGUUUACUUUGAACAAAUUAGAGUGCUUAAAGCAGGCCUGUUGCGCCUGAAUACUGUGUGCAUGGAAUAAUGGAAUAGGACCUCGGUUCUAUUUUGUUGGUUUUCGGAACCCGAGGUAAUGAUUAAUAGGGACAGGCGGGGGCAUUCGUAUUGCGACGUUAGAGGUGAAAUUCUUGGAUCGUCGCAAGACGGACCGAAGCGAAAGCAUUUGCCAAGUAUGUUUUCAUUAAUCAAGAACGAAAGUUAGAGGUUCGAAAGGCGAUCAGAUACCGCCCUAGUUCUAACCAUAAACGAUGCCAGCUAGCGAUCCGCCGAAGUUCCUCCGAUGACUCGGCGGGCAGCUCCCGGGAAACCAAGCUUUUGGGUUCCGGGGGAAGUAUGGUGCAAG